AAAUUGAAGAGUUUGAUCAUGGCUCAGAUUGAACGCUGGCGGCAGGCCUAACACAUGCAAGUCGAACGGUAACAGAAAGCAGCUUGCUGCUUUGCUGACGAGUGGCGGACGGGUGAGUAAUGUCUGGGAAACUGCCUGAUGGAGGGGGAUAACUACUGGAAACGGUGGCUAAUACCGCAUAACGUCGCAAGACCAAAGAGGGGGACCUUCGGGCCUCUUGCCAUCAGAUGUGCCCAGAUGGGAUUAGCUUGUUGGUGAGGUAACGACUCACCAAGGAGACGAUCCCUAGCUGGUCUGAGAGGAUGACCAGCCACACUGGAACUGAGACACGGUCCAGACUCCUACGGGAGGCAGCAGUGGGGAAUAUUGCACAAUGGGCGCAAGCCUGAUGCAGCCAUGCCGCGUGUAUGAAGAAGGCCUUCGGGUUGUAAAGUACUUUCAGCGGGGAGGAAGGUGUUGUGGUUAAUAACCGCAGCAAUUGACGUUACCCGCAGAAGAAGCACCGGCUAACUCCGUGCCAGCAGCCGCGGUAAUACGGAGGGUGCAAGCGUUAAUCGGAAUUACUGGGCGUAAAGCGCACGCAGGCGGUCUGUCAAGUCGGAUGUGAAAUCCCCGGGCUCAACCUGGGAACUGCAUUCGAAACUGGCAGGCUUGAGUCUUGUAGAGGGGGGUAGAAUUCCAGGUGUAGCGGUGAAAUGCGUAGAGAUCUGGAGGAAUACCGGUGGCGAAGGCGGCCCCCUGGACAAAGACUGACGCUCAGGUGCGAAAGCGUGGGGAGCAAACAGGAUUAGAUACCCUGGUAGUCCACGCCGUAAACGAUGUCUACUUGGAGGUUGUGCCCUUGAGGCGUGGCUUCCGGAGCUAACGCGUUAAGUAGACCGCCUGGGGAGUACGGCCGCAAGGUUAAAACUCAAAUGAAUUGACGGGGGCCCGCACAAGCGGUGGAGCAUGUGGUUUAAUUCGAUGCAACGCGAAGAACCUUACCUGGUCUUGACAUCCACGGAAGUUUUCAGAGAUGAGAAUGUGCCUUCGGGAACCGUGAGACAGGUGCUGCAUGGCUGUCGUCAGCUCGUGUUGUGAAAUGUUGGGUUAAGUCCCGCAACGAGCGCAACCCUUAUCCUUUGUUGCCAGCGGUUAGGCCGGGAACUCAAAGGAGACUGCCAGUGAUAAACUGGAGGAAGGUGGGGAUGACGUCAAGUCAUCAUGGCCCUUACGACCAGGGCUACACACGUGCUACAAUGGCGCAUACAAAGAGAAGCGACCUCGCGAGAGCAAGCGGACCUCAUAAAGUGCGUCGUAGUCCGGAUUGGAGUCUGCAACUCGACUCCAUGAAGUCGGAAUCGCUAGUAAUCGUGGAUCAGAAUGCCACGGUGAAUACGUUCCCGGGCCUUGUACACACCGCCCGUCACACCAUGGGAGUGGGUUGCAAAAGAAGUAGGUAGCUUAACCUUCGGGAGGGCGCUUACCACUUUGUGAUUCAUGACUGGGGUGAAGUCGUAACAAGGUAACCGUAGGGGAACCUGCGGUUGGAUCACCUCCUUACCUGAAAGAAGC
rnacentral:rRNA from 1 species